rnacentral:misc_RNA from 1 species
GAUGAAGAACGUAGCGAAAUGCGAUAAGUAGUGUGAAUUGCAGAAUUCAGUGAAUCAUCGAAUCUUUGAACGCACAUUGCGCCCUUAGGUAUUCCAAAGGGCAUGCCUGUUCGAGCGUCAUUUGUACCCUCAAGCUUUGCUUGGUGUUGGGCGUCUUGUCUCUAGCUUUGCUGGAGACUCGCCUUAAAGUAAUUGGCAGCCGGCCUACUGGUUUCGGAGCGCAGCACAAGUCGCACUCUCUAUCAGCAAAGGUCUAGCAUCCAUUAAGCCUUUUUUUCAACUUUUGACCUCGGAUCAGGUAGGGAUACCCGCUGAACUUAAGCAUAUCAAUAAGCGGAGGA